CAGGUCUGCUUAACGUAGAGCAUGGAGUCGACAUCUUGGGAGUGUCAAAGAGGGGUACAGCUCCUCCCCUUCUCCGUUAGGCAUUUCCAACCGGGAGCUCGAGCUUGUACUUAACUGAUGCGGUGUGCCGAGCCGCGAGGAGUCAGGGAAGGACUAAAUAAUAAUGAAUUAGCAGAUAAAUCAGACUUUAUCCCCUAGAUCCUCUAAAAGAUUCCUAGAAGGGUGGACAAGGGCCCUGGCCAGUCACCCACAGCCGAGACCCCAGGGCAUCCAGCAGACGCUGUAGCCGGAACACCGCAAUCCCCAAGGAUGGGCCCUCUUCGAACUGGAUCACAGACAGCUCCAGCCGGAAGCACCCCAGAGUCUCAGCAGGACACACCUGUGGGGACAGAGUGACUUGGUAUUGGAGACAGCAGCAAACAAAAUCUAUUUGAAGGCUGGGAGCUGGGUCAGCAGCUGGACAGCCAAACACCAGCCCUACUGCCUCCUGCCGCCAACAUGUAUUCUGAGCUAGUGGAUUCUCCCUAAAUUUCCAACGCCUGGUGCAUCAGGCAGCAUAAGAGUGUGUGAGUACGUGAAUCCCAUGGCCUGUCUUCUCAUUGGAAAACACCCCUGCUAGGCUUUAUCUGUGUUUGCAGUCUCCACCUUCCAGGUGCAAAGUGAGUCACCACAGCCCUUUGAACCUUGGACUUCAGGGACGCCUGGAUGGCUCAGCGGUUGGGUGUCUGCCUUCGGCUCAGGUCCUGAUCCUGGGAUCUGGGAUCCAGUCUCGCAUCAGGCUCUUUGUGGGGAGCCUGCUUCUCCCUCUGCCUGUGU